rnacentral:rRNA from 1 species
GCAAAACGCGAAGAACCUUACCCACCUUUGACAUGUACGGAAUCCUUUAGAGAUAGAGGAGUGCUCGAAAGAGAGCCGUAACACAGGUGCUGCAUGGCUGUCGUCAGCUCGUGUCGUGAGAUGUUGGGUUAAGUCCCGCAACGAGCGCAACCCUUGCCAUUAGUUGCUACAUUUAGUUGAGCACUCUAAUGGGACUGCCGGUGACAAACCGGAGGAAGGUGGGGAUGACGUCAAGUCCUCAUGGCCCUUAUAGGUGGGGCUACACACGUCAUACAAUGGCUGGUACAAAGGGUUGCCAACCCGCGAGGGGGAGCUAAUCCCAUAAAGCCAGUCGUAGUCCGGAUCGCAGUCUGCAACUCGACUGCGUGAAGUCGGGAUCGCUAGUAAUCGUGGAUCAGAAUGUCACGGUGAAUACGUUCCCGGGUCUGUACACACCG